GUUAGUAAUGUCUGUUUAUCUGCAGAGGUGAGAAAAGCUGUUUGUGCUGUUUGAUUAAGGAGCCAAAAACUGUUAAAGCUUCUUCACAGAGUUUUUCUCAGUUUGUGCCCUGGCCUCCUCUAAAGGUGAUUGGUGAUAGGAAGAGGAGACUUGAAUGGAUUCUUCACAAAAGGAACAAAGAAGCAACAACCAACAGAGACCUCAGCACUCUUCCGAUGAUGACCUCACGCAAGCAAAGAGAGAGAAAUCAUUCACUUGUGAUCUUUGCGCAAAGAGCUUUAUCACAAGGAGGCAGCUCGGGAGACACCAAUGCUUCCACAAUAAGAAAAGAUGCUUCACUUGUGAUGACUGUGGAAAGUCUUUUACUGAAAAGUUUAACUUGACAAGGCAUAAGCUCAUCCACACUGGGGUUAAACCAUUCAUCUGUGAUGAGUGUGGAAAGUGUUUUACUCUGCAAAGUGACUUAAAAUCACAUCAACUCAUCCAUGUUGGAGUUAAACCAUUCAUCUGUGAUGAGUGUGGAAAGGCUUUUACUGAAAAGAGUUAUUUGACAAGGCAUAAUCUCAUCCACACUGGGGUUAAACCAUUCAUCUGUGGGGAGUGUGGAAAGUCUUUUACUUCGCAAAGUGCCUUAAAAUCACACCAACUCAUCCAUGCAGGAAUUAAACCAUUCAUGUGUGGUAACUCUGGGAAGUCCUUUACUCUGAAGGGUUACUUGAAACAACAUCAGCUCAUCCACAGUAAAGCAAAACCUUAAAGUCGUGACUAGAAAUGCACCAGUUCUACGUUUGGUUGGUAUAUCAGUCUGAUCCAAAUGAGUCAACAAGUUGGAUCAGAUAUCGCUGCAAAUCUAUUGCUGCUCACUGACUUCGGUUAUGUUUUGUGUAACACUUGUUUAGAAGAUUUUACUGCAGUCACAGCACCAUGAAGUGUUGCUACCAACUCAGUUACUAUCGUUUCGCUUCAGGUGUUUCAGGUCAACUCGACGAACAAAAUAUGAGAACAAGGGACAGAGUUCCUGUAUGCAUUCAUUAAAACAUUUUGAAGCUUUCAAGCAGAUUGAAACGGUACCUCUGUAUUUUUCCUUUGUUUGUUAUUUUGUAAGUAAAAAGCAAUACUUGGUAGAUUAAUACUGGUUCAUGCAAAUGUAUUGAGCUAUAUUGUUUAUUUCUUGUGCUUCUUGGGACUCUGUUUUGGUUGCUGGUCACAUAGGUGUGGUGAGCGUUGACUGUUUGUUGCUAGUAGAUUUUUCUCUGGUGUUCAUUUACCAUAAAACUGUUAAAUGAACACUGUCUGUUAAUCUUACAAACUGCCAAAUUAACACUAUCAUUUUUUUUGUUAGCAUAAGCUGCUAGUUGCUACAUUAAUGAGGUCCAUGCCCCAGUUUUUUGAGGUGUUGCUGCCAUUAGAUUCAAUUUUUUUCUUAUAAUUGUACAUUUUUAUCAGUUUUUCUUUUCAACAUUUUAUUAUGUGUAAAACAUGUCUUUAAGCUUUUAAAUCAUUGCAUCCUGUUUGUAACUAUCUUUGUGUCCAUUUUUGUUUUUACAUAUUUACUCUUUAAUCAGUAAAUUGGACACAGUGAAAAUGGGAGUCUGAUUC